CUGUUCCCACCUCUUACCAGUUCCUGGUUCCAAUUCGAGAAGAUCAGAUCGACUAUGCGAAUCCCUUUUAUCUAUGUGAUUAGCGUUAGUUUCUCAAACAUGUAUGUGUCAUUUUCUGUUCCCUCCGUACCAGAAAUGAGUUCAGUUUCCAAAUUGUCGAUUAUAAGAGUUUUAGAUCUGCAGAAUUGAGUUCGAGUGAAGCAGAUCUAAGGUGAAUUUCCGGUGAUCCCGCCUCGUAUUGCGACUAGAAAAGGGACUCAAGUAGUGAUGUAAGCAGUGAUUACAACCUCCCAAAGAGUGAAAUUUUUCAGCGGUUGGAUCAAUUGUCGUUAAAUUACCAACAAGUCCUUCAAGAAGGCUUCUCUAGUGAUGAGGUUGAAUCAGGAAGACCACAAAGCUGUCUUUCAUUUGAGUAUUUGGAGUGUAAUCAACCUUGGGGUUGGGAACCUUUGACUGAUACUUGAUCUUGUGCGUCGCUUCACAGAGUUGAAAAGCAUGAAAAGUUGUGACUUGUUUUCUUCUAGUUGGUUAUCUGUGGCUUGGUACCCAAGUUAUAGGACUCUAAUGGGACCAACAUUGAAAGAUCUUAAUGUUGUUUUUUACCUUUCAUUCUCUUCAUACACCAAUCACAGGUUUGUAAUUUUCUAUAUAACUUUUGUGUUGCAUUUUGAACCUGUUGAUUUGAUUACUGGAACUUAAAGUCACAAGUAUCAGUUUCUAGCGCUUGGAUAAAUUGAUCACUUUUACUUUUUUCCACAACAAUGUAUUUUUUAGUUGUUUUCUUAAUUUAUCGGAUAAUCAAAGUUUCUCAAACACUUGAAUAACCUAUAGGGGUGUAACCUAGCCGAGCCCAAGCCCGACUAGGUUGAGCUUGGCUCGUCAUGUUUUUAUGAAACUCGAACUUAAGCUCGACUCUGUUCGAGCCUGCUUAUUGGGACUAAGGGUGUUCUUGGAGAUAAUGCCUUGGCUAUUGAAGUAGUAU